AAGGAGCUUGCUCCUUUGACGUUAGCGGCGGACGGGUGAGUAACACGUGGGUAACCUACCUAUAAGACUGGAAUAACUCCGGGAAACCGGGGCUAAUGCCGGAUAACAUAUAGAACCGCAUGGUUCUAUAGUGAAAGAUGGUUUUGCUAUCACUUAUAGAUGGACCCGCGCCGUAUUAGCUAGUUGGUAAGGUAAUGGCUUACCAAGGCGACGAUACGUAGCCGACCUGAGAGGGUGAUCGGCCACACUGGAACUGAGACACGGUCCAGACUCCUACGGGAGGCAGCAGUAGGGAAUCUUCCGCAAUGGGCGAAAGCCUGACGGAGCAACGCCGCGUGAGUGAUGAAGGGUUUCGGCUCGUAAAACUCUGUUAUUAGGGAAGAACAUAUGUGUAAGUAACUGUGCACAUCUUGACGGUACCUAAUCAGAAAGCCACGGCUAACUACGUGCCAGCAGCCGCGGUAAUACGUAGGUGGCAAGCGUUAUCCGGAAUUAUUGGGCGUAAAGCGCGCGUAGGCGGUUUCUUAAGUCUGAUGUGAAAGCCCACGGCUCAACCGUGGAGGGUCAUUGGAAACUGGGAAACUUGAGUGCAGAAGAGGAAAGUGGAAUUCCAUGUGUAGCGGUGAAAUGCGCAGAGAUAUGGAGGAACACCAGUGGCGAAGGCGACUUUCUGGUCUGUAACUGACGCUGAUGUGCGAAAGCGUGGGGAUCAAACAGGAUUAGAUACCCUGGUAGUCCACGCCGUAAACGAUGAGUGCUAAGUGUUAGGGGGGUUUCCGCCCCUUAGUGCUGCAGCUAAC
rnacentral:rRNA from 1 species